rnacentral:lncRNA from 1 species
AAAAAGCGUUGGCAAAAGUUUGACCAAGUCAGUGACAAAGCGUUAAAUGUAGUCAAAGUUACUUGUAUUCAAGAAACAGAACAAUUACCCUCAGAAAAUUGUGACGUUUUGGUGGGUGAUACAAAUAAGUCUUGUCCAUUUGUGCCUGGGAAGGAAACUACAAUCAAUGCAUCUGAAAAUACUCAAGACAACUGUCAAAAAAAUGACAUCCCAACAGAAUGCAAACGUAUUAGAAAACCUAGCAAAAGACUCAUAGAAUGGACAGAGGAAUACGAUCAAUUGUUUUCCACUAAGAAGAAAGCAAAAAAGAAACCUGAGUCCUUUACUAAGGUUGAAAACAAUAACUGCAGUGGCCCAGUGGAGAAAACAUCUGGCGAAAGUAUACAGAAACCUCAGGUGACAGAACAAGGUGUGUCAAGGCCCCUGCCAGAAUUACAGACUCCUCCUCCAGAAGACCUGUCUCGGAGCACUCCUUCAAUAAAUCCCACGCCAUGUCAAGAGAGGCAGGUGUUGUCUGUAGACACUCUUACUCCACCUCCAGAAACAAUCCCAUCACCGUGUGCUGAAAUUUGUCAUAAGGAGGAGCUUCAAAAACAAAAUGCUAUAGCCACUGGUGAUGGUGUGUGUCUAAGCACAAAGAGACAACGGAAACCCACCAAAAAGAUUCUGGAAAGCUCCAUAGAAGCUGAACCAAUUCUUGUGCCAAAAAGAAAGGUACUUGUUUAAACUAUAACUAUUUUAGAAAGUUUACUU